rnacentral:rRNA from 1 species
UCAAGUGACUAAGUGUAUGUGGUGGAUGCCUUGGCGAUCACAGGCGAUGAAGGACGUAGUAGCUUGCGAUAAGCUGCGGGGAGCCGGCAAACGGGCUUUGAUCCGCAGAUUUCCGAAUGGGGGAACCCACCGACGUAGGUCGGUAUCACGCACUGAAUACAUAGGUGCGUGAGGCGAACGGAGCGAACUGAAACAUCUAAGUAGCUCCAGGAAAAGAAAUCAACCGAGAUUGCGAAAGUAGCGGCGAGCGAAAUUGCAGCAGCCCAGUGUUCUGAUAGCACGAACGACAGCAGAAGGGUCUGGAAAGGCCCGCUAUAGAGGGUGAUAGCCCCGUAUGCGAAAUCGGACGUGUGGUACUAAGGAACCGAUAAGUAGGGCGGGACACGUGACAUCCUGUCUGAAGAUGGGGGGACCAUCCUCCAAGGCUAAAUACUCGUGAUCGACCGAUAGUGAACCAGUACUGUGAAGGAAAGGCGAAAAGAACCCCGGGAGGGGAGUGAAAUAGAACCUGAAACCGCAUACAUACAAACAGUAGGAGCCCCUGCAGUGGGGUGACUGCGUACCUUUUGCAUAAUGGGUCAGCGACUUACGUUUUGUGGCGAGCUUAACCGAGUAGGGGAGGCGUAGCGAAAGCGAGUUCGAAUAGAGCGAAGAGUCUCAAGGCGUAGACCCGAAACCAGAUGAGCUAUCCAUGGCCAGGUUGAAGGUGUGGUAACACACACUGGAGGACCGAACCGACUAGUGUUGCAAAAUUAGCGGAUGAGCUGUGGAUAGGGGUGAAAGGCUUAACAAAUCUGGAGAUAGCUGGUUCUCCCCGAAAACUAUUGAGGUAGUGCCUCGUGUAUUGCUCCAGGGGGUAGAGCACUGUUAUGGCUAGGGGGACAUGGCGUCUUACCAAACCAUGGCAAACUCCGAAUACUUGGAAGUAAGAGCACGGGAGACAGAGCACCGGGUGCUAACGUCCGGACUCAAGAGGGAAACAACCCAGACCGCCGUUUAAGGUCCCAAAUAUUGACUAAGUGGAAAACGAAGUGUGAAGGCUAAGACAGUCAGGAAGUUGGCUUAGAAGCAGCCAUCCUUCAAAGAAAGCGUAAUAGCUCACUGAUCGAGUCCUCAUGCGCGGAAGAUGUAACGGGGCUAAGUCAAUAACCGAAAGCGCGGAUUUGCAUGAAAAUGCAAGUGGUAGGGGAGCGUUCUGUAAGCCUGCGAAGGUGGUUCGAGAGGACUGCUGGAGGUAUCAGAAGUGCGAAUGCUGACAUGAGUAACGUUAAAGCGGGUGAAAAGCCCGCUCGCCGUAAGCCCAAGGUUUCCUGCUCUACGUUCAUCGGAGCAGGGUGAGUCGGCCCCUAAGGCCAGGCUGAGAAGCGUAGUCGAUGGGAAGCAGAUUAAUAUUUCUGCACCAUGUGCAAGUGCGAUGGGGGGACGGAGUGCGAAAGAUCAUCCGGGUGUUGGAUGUCCCGGUUUGUGAGUGUAGAAGGCCGACAGGCAAAUCCGUCGGCGGAUCUUCGAGACAAAGCAUCGAGGUUCUACGGAACCGAAGUGAUCGGAAGUGCUUCCAGGAAAAGCCUCUAAGCUUCAGCUUGUACAUGACCGUACCGUAAACCGACACUGGUGGGCGAGUUGAAUAUACUCAGGCGCUUGAGAGAACUCGGGAGAAGGAACUCGGCAAAUUGACACCGUAACUUCGGGAUAAGGUGUGCCUUUGUAGCGUGAAGAGAGAAACACUCGGAGCGUGAAGAGGCCUCAGAGAAUCGGUGGCUGCAACUGUUUAUUAAAAACACAGCACUCUGCAAAGACGAAAGUCGACGUAUAGGGUGUGAUGCCUGCCCGGUGCUGGAAGAUUAAGUGAUGGGGUGAGAGCUCCUGAUCGAAGUCCCAGUAAACGGCGGCCGUAACUAUAACGGUCCUAAGGUAGCGAAAUUCCUUGUCGGGUAAGUUCCG